GACGAACGCUGGCGGCGUGCCUAAUACAUGCAAGUAGAACGCUGAAGGAGGAGCUUGCUUCUCUGGAUGAGUUGCGAACGGGUGAGUAACGCGUAGGUAACCUGCCUGGUAGCGGGGGAUAACUAUUGGAAACGAUAGCUAAUACCGCAUAAUAGCAGUUGUUGCAUGACAACUGUUUGAAAGGUGCAAUUGCACCACUACCAGAUGGACCUGCGUUGUAUUAGUUAGUUGGUGGGGUAACGGCUCACCAAGGCGACGAUACAUAGCCGACCUGAGAGGGUGGUCGGCCACACUGGGACUGAGACACGGCCCAGACUCCUACGGGAGGCAGCAGUAGGGGAACUUCGGCAAUGGACGGAAGGCUGGCCGGGCAACGCCGCGUGAGUGAAGAAGGUUUUCGGGUCGUAAAGCUCUGUUGUAAGGGAAGAACGAGAGUGAGAGUGGAAAGUUCACACUGUGACGGUAUCUUACCAGAAAGGGACGGCUAACUACGUG
rnacentral:rRNA from 1 species